rnacentral:misc_RNA from 1 species
UUAACAGGAAAAAAAAAAAGGAAAUUUGAUUAAAGAAUUUAAAGAAAGAAGAAACAGGAUCUGCUGAGAAGAAUAAGGAAAUAAAGACAAAGAAGGAAAGAAAUUUUAGGGAAGAGGGAAGAAGAAUUAGAGGAAAGAGAGGAAGAGAGAAGAAGAAACCUGGUACUUGGGAAGAGUGAUCUGCCAUAGACGCAACUCCCAUGAAACAAUUUCUAGUAAUUGCCCACUGAUCUAACAGCUUUAAUACCAAUUUGUUACGUAGCAGAAUCUCAGAACACCAUAAUACCAGAAUUAGAAGAAGAAGAAGAGAAAAAGAGAGAGAGAGAGA